UUGUAGAAAUUCGUUGCUAAUCUGUGGUGCAUUCUAAUGUGAAGUCAGGGAACUUGGGUGACUGCGUACUUCUCAUUAUUGGUUUGUGGCAUUUCAUCUGUGCAAAAAUCUAUUAGAUGGAUGAAAUGUUAUUGAGUAAUUUUCAUCACUUUUUUUCCUAUUGUUUUGGGUAAAGUUACUAUGUUGCAUAAAUGAGAAAAGAUUUCUUGCUGUAAAUAGAUGCCAAAACCUAAUGAGAGUUCUUUCCUUUUCUACUAGUUCCUAAAAAGUUUCUAAGAGUGUUAGUGAAUAGAACGCAAUACCUUUGGCGAAAGGUUGUGGUGUUGUUUUUGCUGCUCCUCUGCAUUUCAGAAGAAGGAUUGAAUUUAGUCAGAGUAAAGAAAGGCCUCCUUCCUAACAUGGGGUAAAUAGAAGCGUAUUGGUUCAUAGAACGGAAUUCUGGACGGUAGCCAAGGUAUUGUUGCUCUCUUUUUAGUUCUCAAGCAUUUGCUGAGAUCAUGUUGUUGAUUGCUUCAUGGUCUUUUUUCUCAAUAAUGAGGUAACAUAAGUUGAAAGUGGUUGAUUCAGUUAUCGAUCUGAUCUAUCUAUGUCUAUAAAGACGUUGCUAUUUUAUCCAGUGUUCCAUGAACACACCAAAUAGUCUUCAGCUUUACUAUUACUGUACCAUUUCUUAGCUAACCGGAUAAGCAGCUUAUCGCUCCUUGAAGGGAAGUCUAAACUAGAUGGCCCCAGAGCUCAUACAAUCCUUGAUGGUGAAUAAUUACAGCACGGAUCUCAAUCGUGCUGCCAACAUGUGGAGUUUGGGAUGUACUAUUACCAAAAUGAUUACUUGGAAACCUCCUCGGAGUAUGAGUGGGCUCAAGUUAUAUUUAAGGUGAUGCGAAGUUCUCCAGCAAUCCCUGAGAUGUUAUCUGCCGAGGGAAAGGAUUUUGUGUAGUGAUGCUUUCGAAGAC